GUUCCACGCUAGGGGUCCCGGAGCUAACUGUCUUCGGGUGAGAAAAACCCUCCGUACCUGAUCUGGAUAAUGCCAGCGUAGGGAAGCGCAAAGACACAUUA
rnacentral:ncRNA from 2 species